GACGUAGGGCGCGAGCGUUGUCCGGAUUUAUUGGGCGUAAAGAGCUCGUAGGCGGCUUGUUGCGUCGACUGUGAAAACCAGAGGCUCAACCUCUGGCCUGCAUUCGAUACUGUUCGACUUGAAGGCAGGAGAGGGAAGCAGAAUUCCCGGUGUAGUGGUGAAAUGCGUAGAUAUCGGGAGGAAUACCAGUGGCGAAGGCGGCUUCCUGGCCUGUUCUUGACGCUGAGGCGCGAAAGCUGGGGGAGCAAACGGG
rnacentral:rRNA from 1 species